rnacentral:misc_RNA from 1 species
GAUGAAGAACGCAUCGAAAUGCGAUAAGUAAUGUGAAUUGCAGAAUUCAGUGAAUCAUCGAAUCUUUGAACGCACCUUGCGCCCUUUGGCUAUUCCGAAGGGCAUGCCUGUUUGAGUAUCAUGAACACCUCAACUCUCAUGGUUUGCCAUGAUGAGCUUGGACUCUGGGGGUCUUGCUGGCCUAUGGUCAGCUCCUCUCAAAUAAAUCAGCUUGCCAGUGUUUGGUGGCAUCACAGGUGUGAUAACUAUCUACGCUUGUGGUUUUCCAUCAGGUAACCUUCAGUGAUGGAGGUUCGCUGGAGCUCAUAAAUGUCCCUCCUCAGCGAGGACAGCUUUUUGAACGUUUGAUCUCAAAUCAGGUAGGACUACCCGCUGAACUUAAGCAUAUCAAUAAGCGGAGGA